GGAAUUCUGUACAACAGGGAGUUGUUUUAUUAGAUAUGUAUCUAUGAAAGGUAUGAAUUGUUUAUGUUUUUUAUAAAACAUUCCAUGUAUAAUACUUAUAAGUCUUGGGAACAACUUGUUGGUCCAAUGGCAAGUCUGAGUAUGAACAUUUUAGAGUCAAGAAGGAAUGUUUUUUUUCUUUUUGUGCCAAAAUUGGCAAUUGCUUUAAAUUAUUUUUUUGGGUGUUUUUGUUUGAACAGAUG